ensembl:lncRNA
AUGCAGGGCGGAGGAAACGACCCGAUUGGAAGUCGGGAAAGGACCUUUGAACUGUUCAGCAUGGAACGUCAGACGUGCCCACGCCAAGUUGGUGGGAUGAGAGGGGACCAUGGUUGGAUGUCGGGGAUAAACCCAGAAUCUGGUUGAUGCUACAGGGAAGUGCUGGAGAGCAGAAGACCGCAGCCUGUGGGACAAGCAGGACCUUGAAGUCCUGAGUCUGCCUUUUGUUGGGCAGCACACGGUGAGGCUUGGCCUGUUUCUUUCUCCGACCUUUGCUGUCACAGUCCCCAACAUGACCACUGGAGGUACUUGGCUGGGCAUUUACUCCAGAAUGGGAGAUGCCAUGGAGCUCCUCUAGGCUCCUUCCUUGAAUGAAUGGAGUCUCCUGGAACAGUAGUCCGGCCUGGGGGACUGUGUUCUGCAGUUGGACAUGUUGACCAAAGUCAAGUAAGAUGGUGGCAAUUUCAAGUGUCUCCUUUAAAGGGCACUUAAACACCCCACAUUUAUCCUGGGAAACCAAUUCACCAUCUCCUCUGUCUGCAGCCUACAAUGAAAAGGAACUCUGUAAAUUAUCUGAA